rnacentral:rRNA from 1 species
AUGAACGCUGGCGGCGUGCCUAAUACAUGCAAGUCGAGCGAACGGACGAGAAGCUUGCUUCUCUGAUGUUAGCGGCGGACGGGUGAGUAACACGUGGAUAACCUACCUAUAAGACUGGGAUAACUUCGGGAAACCGGAGCUAAUACCGGAUAAUAUUUUGAACCGCGUGGUUCAAAAGUGAAAGACGGUCUUGCUGUCACUUAUAGAUGGAUCCGCGCUGCAUUAGCUAGUUGGUAAGGUAACGGCUUACCAAGGCAACGAUGCAUAGCCGACCUGAGAGGGUGAUCGGCCACACUGGAACUGAGACACGGUCCAGACUCCUACGGGAGGCAGCAGUAGGGAAUCUUCCGCAAUGGGCGAAAGCCUGACGGAGCAACGCCGCGUGAGUGAUGAAGGUCUUCGGAUCGUAAAACUCUGUUAUUAGGGAAGAACAUAUGUGUAAGUAACUGUGCACAUCUUGACGGUACCUAAUCAGAAAGCCACGGCUAACUACGUG